GGCGCUGGAGUUUGGCACAGAUUGUAAUAGAAAUGAAAAGGAGAAAAAUAACAGAAAUGCACAUAGGCAUGGUUUUAUGUGCUGCCUUAUAUUGUCUGCUCUAGAUGAAUGACAGUGUGUGUGUGUGUGUGUGUGUGUGUGUGUGUGCGCGCGCACGUACUAGAGUGAGAGCUGCUCCCUGCCUUUGAAUAUGAGUGAGCAGUGGGGAGACUGGCUGACCUUUCAGGGACCUCCCUGACUGAAGCUGUCCUGUAGUGGUAUUUACAUUACCAUUUCAAUACACUGCCAAGCAGGGCUGGCAAUAAAAUAUUCAGUUGACCUUUAAGGCAAAAAAGACUUAGUUAGAGACUGUCAUAUCAUUUAACCUUAAGACUAUACAGUGUAAGUGUGAGCUGUGUCACUGUGUGCCCCUCAUUACUGGCCACAGUCUGACAGAGUGCUCUCUUUAAACUGAAAGCCAGUCUGUAGAGGCAGAGGGACUACCCUGCUGUCCCCAUAGUGACUCCUUCCAUCCCUGCCUUAGAAGGUUUUACAGCCCAACUGAAGACUCAAUCUUUUGCCUUAUACUGUCGAUCAUCUCUACACCUCCCCUGAGUAUGAAGGACUUUUUAAUAGAGCAGCAGUCCCCAGAGCUGAUCAAAUAAGACCAUACAGAGGGGCCACAGAGCUGCAGUUCCUCCACUGACCACUUGAGGCUGGCUCCAAAAGUAUGUCAGUCCCCAUUUGAGCUUAAAGCAAAAUCAAACGUUCAAAAUCUGGUAUUUGAGACUACUGAAGCCUCUUUGACUAAUUUCUCUAUUCCUAAAAAAACUGUAGGCUACAGGUUUUGAUUGUAAAUAUAACUGUGGUGUUUAUAAUAUAUAUAUUCCCAAAGACAAAGGCUUCAGAAAGAGUGGGCAAUUUUAAUAUUUUCAGGACAGCUGUCCCUAUGGUGCUGAAAGACUUUCAGCUCUAUGUGCCUGCCACUUUACUCAUGACUUCCCAGUAAUCAAAGUCCAGCAUGAACUUUAUUUGCAUCUCAACUGUAAUCUAUGUCUGUUCCUUCUAUAAAGUACCUCAAUUUAAAGCCUUAGCCACGGGCUGUAAGUAAGGUUACAGCAGCAGCUAAUGUAGAAACAGAACACCUGUGAAAGAGAGCUAACUGUCGACUAACAGUUAUCCUAAGACAUUCAUUGUAAUGGCAUAACUUUUCAAUCAUUUCAUGCUAAAACUGCGUGGAAAUAAGUCAUAAGUCUUGGCUGACUUUAUAUCACUGAAAAGGCAACUGAAAAAAGCAGUCAGGCAGAGCCGGAGCAGUACUAAGUAUGUUUUUUUUUUUUUUUUCUGUAAUUGGUGCCAG